rnacentral:lncRNA from 1 species
CUGGAUUUAUAUUGGUGUUCAAAUAAUAUUUAUUAGUUGUACAGGGUGUAUAAAAAAAACCCCUGCAACCUCAGAAUUUCCCAAGAAAUCAUUGUUUGACUUGUAAGGACAAAAGAUUUUAGGUGCCUGGAAAUUUAAAGGGGAGGUCAAGUCCGUAAUGUAAACAAACGGUUUGUUUACAUUUUGAACUGCUGUAUUUUUUAAAAUAAGAUGUACUGUCUAAAUAUCUAACACUAGUUUGGUUCGCUAUGCUUCUAAAUGAAUAUGAAAUAGAGUUUAUGUUCAGGAAAAUUCGAAAUUUGGGCAAUGUUUACAUCAGAGGGCCCUCACAUUUUUAUGCGCAGAACCAAUGCGCAGAACGGACUUGACUUCCCCUUUAAGAUAGCACAACUGUCAAAAUUACUGCACAUGCGAGUGCAUGAAACAAAAUUUAUGCAUUUGUUUAAUGACACUUAAGGCCUAUUAAAAAAAAAUUUCUGUUUUUCAUCGCCACCUGCCCCUGAAAAUUUGGCCGCCCCCAAAAUAUUUUUUAAAAUAUUAUUCCGCCAAUUACUGGGGUAUAAAAACAAAAAAAAUCCGCCCGCCCGCCCCAAUUCUAUUCCAAACAAAUGAUGAAAAACAGAAAUAUUAUUUUAAUAGGCCUAAUGGGCUAUUACAUUUAAUAUCCGUACCCCCCCUGUCGAGGACCUCAUUUUCCAAGGGGGAAAUCAGCCAUUUUUUCCAGAGGGGUAUUUGGGAAAAAUGGGGGGGGGGAAUGCUCUUUCCAGAUGGGCUAAAAUGCACUUCCAGAGGGGGUUCAAGUCUCUUCCAGAAGGGUCAAUUACACAGAUUUUUUUGCAUUCCAGAGGGGUAAAAUCCCCAGAAGCAGAGGUCCUCAACAGGGGGGGUUGGUUUUUAAAUGUAAUAGCCCAAUACGUUGUUAUUUUACAAGUACAAUUCCCAGGGACCUAAAAUCUUUUAUGCUUAAGAAUUGCAAAGUGUAUUUCUUAGGAAAUUCCGAGGUUACGUUUUUUUUUGACACACCCUGUGUACUUAUAAUACGACUGCCGGGUAUUUAUAUAUUAAUAUGUUCAUGGUAUAAAAUAUUAAAAUAAUCGCUAUUUCAACACUGCUAUAGGCAGCAUGAUAUUCAUUCAUGUAAUUUUAAAAACAUGUUAAUAAUAUAUUCAUACGUUUUGCUUACCUUUCUUUUAAAACAGACAUGUUCAAAGUUCAAACCAAACCAAAAGAGCUUAUGCAUUGGUAAUAUGGUAUAUUUAUUGUCAAAUAUCCAAAGCUGGCGUGUAGGAUCUAACCCGAAAAGUAGGGCCUAAUCGCCUGCGAGCAGGCAGGACAUCACGUGAUAAAAACACAUGUUGGGUUUAUAUUUUUUGAUUGUUUGUUCGGAUUACGAAGGGCAAAAGUCAGGUACAUUUGCAUGUUUUUGGUCCUGUUUUCUAUGUAUUUGCAAAGUAAUUUGUUUCUUGUAGCGUAGUUUAUAAUGUAUUUGUAUUGUUUCUAUAGAAACCACCUUUAAAGCGAUGUUUUGUACGAAAAUAUAUUGAUAUAUGAAUUUAAUAUGGAUUCAAUUUAUAUAUACGUGGUGCGUUUCGGAUAAUUCCUUUCAAGAACAACAAAGUUUCUG